UUAGUUUCAACUCUUUUAUGCAUUUCCUCAUUUUUUCCUACAAAUGGUGGAGGAGUUGGGGGCGGGGUAGGGGGUGGGGGUGGGGGUGGUGACAGCUUCUUGGAUAGCCAUAGCUUGUUAUGGAGACUAGGAGGUGGGGUGGAAUUAAGUAGAUGUUUGAGGGGUUUUUGGGUAAAUUUAGGAGUGUAUGGAGGAGGGAUUUUUUCAGGGGAACUGGAGGAGGAUUUUCUGAGGGAGGAAAA
rnacentral:misc_RNA from 1 species